GUUGGAGGCUGGGCUAGUGGCAAGUGUACUUGCCAUUUGAAAUGUGGCAAAGCCGUUGAUGACAGGUUACACCCUCACCUCUGCAACCUGGGCUGUCUUGCUAUCCAUUCUUUCGCUGCUUGUCUUUCACUUGUCUCCUCCAGAUCUCCCCUGCAUCAUUACUUAAAACAUUUCUAAUGGCUGGACCCUUGCUACCAACUCAAGGGAACACAUGACUCAUUUAGGGAGAUCUUCUUCUUCAGAGGAAUGAGUUCCUCAAGACUUAGAAGACAAAAUGAUUGACACCUCCAUUCCUGCAAUGACAUCUGUAUAUAAGGGGAAAACAAGAUCUGGAAAAUAAGGUCUAGAAUUCAAAGUAUAAUUUGUGAAGCUUGUUUCCAUGGGAAAAUGUGGUGUGAGGUUCAAUUAAUGUCAAGGCAUUUUUGGAACAUGAUAUACACUGCAGUUUCUAAGCAGCAGUUCAGGCCUGCUGCACUACUGCAUAAGGAGACAAGGAGGCCAAGUGGAUUUAGACAGCUUAUUAUUCAUGGCUCAGAGGACAGCAUGGACUUCACAUUUGCAUCACUUCCCUUUAUCCUCAAGUUCCGAGGGUGGUGAUAUGGGGUGGGUCCCGGCGAAUGCUGCACACACAUGGAUCCUUGUUAUACCUGAAGAACAGUGAGCUUCAGAAAACUCCAAUCUUAUAAGGAAGGAGACAGCUGGCAAAUCCAUCUCUCCCUCCAGAGACAUUAUCUUUAUCUCCCUGGAAUGUGUCAGGAGAUGAGAAGAGGUUUCCAGCUUUAUAACCCUGGAAUUUAAACAAAUCUGCCACCUGCUUAGGAACAGCUUUACAAACAUCCUUGAAUAAAGUUGUCGGUGCCUUUCGCCCAGAAGAUACUCAGAAGUGGCAGAUCCUUGGAGAAUGACCUCCUAACACUAUCUUUUUGUCACCUAUGGCUCCUUUGCAGAAACCUUACUACUGUUUUGCAGUUUUCUUUUUUUUGUAUAUUACAAAAACAAACAUUUAUUAUUU
rnacentral:lncRNA from 1 species